GAUGAAGGCCUUCGGGUUGUAAACCUCUUUCAGCACCGGCGAAUUCAGACGGUAGGUGCAGAAGAAGCGCCGGCUAACUACGUGCCAGCAGCCGCGGUAAUACGUAGGGCGCAAGCGUUGUCCGGAUUUAUUGGGCGUAAAGAGCUCGUAGGCGGCCUGUCGCGUCUGCUGUGAAAGCCCGGGGCUUAACUCCGGGUCUGCAGUGGAUACGGGCAGGCUAGAGGCCGGUAGGGGAAAGUGGAAUUCCUGGUGUAGCGGUGAAAUGCGCAGAUAUCAGGAGGAACACCGGUGGCGAAGGCGGCUUUCUGGGCCGGGCCUGACGCUGAGGAGCGAAAGCGUGGGGAGCGAACAGGAUUAGAUACCCUGGUAGUCC
rnacentral:rRNA from 1 species